rnacentral:rRNA from 1 species
UACGAAGGGGGCUAGCGUUGUUCGGAAUUACUGGGCGUAAAGCGCACGUAGGCGGGUCGUUAAGUCAGGGGUGAAAUCCCAGAGCUCAACUCUGGAACUGCCUUUGAUACUAGCGACCUAGAGUUCGGAAGAGGUUAGUGGAAUUCCCAGUGUAGAGGUGAAAUUCGUAGAUAUUGGGAAGAACACCAGUGGCGAAGGCGGCUCACUGGACUGGUACUGACGCUGAGGCGCGAAAGCGUGGGGAGCAAACGGG